rnacentral:lncRNA from 1 species
ACCUAGAGUCGGUACAGUUUGGGAAUUCUAAAGACACCAAUAUAAAUCUGAGUUCUCCAGGUAAUCCAUCUUCAUAAUAAGGGUAAACAAAAAUGAUUUAUCUCCUCCUGAGACAGCCAUGCAGGAAAGAAAUUUACCACCUUAAACGUCGAUGAAAAGUGGAGAGAAGGGGGGAACAAUCCUCCCUUUAAGAAUUCAUAAGUGCCACUUAGGGCCUUACUGAUAAUACCUAGGCAUUCCAGAACCCUCCUUCCUGAGAAUUUUGUUUCAAAUGUCUCCAUACAGACUUAU